UCCUCAAAAAUCCCUUUAUUUCUUGUCCGCCUUCUGUGCUUCCCCUUCCUCGUCCACCUCCUGGGCUCUUUCCAUUUUCUGUUUUUCCAGUUCUUCCUGCUCGCAUUUGCUGCUGGGAAACUUGUCUUUGUUGUUCUCCUUUUUCCAUUUCAUCCUCCUGUUCUGGAACCAGAUUUUGACCUGCCUCUCUGUCAAUCCCAGGGCAUGCGAGACCUCGAUCCUCCGUUUGCGGGUCAGGCGCUCGCGGGGCUUCGUGAGCGAUAAAACGUCACAGGAAUUUCGGGAGGGAAUCGCAGGAAUCGCUCCUGGAAAAAGGAAACCCGAGCACAACUCUAAGGAAAGUGAGAAAAAAAAAACCAACUUCCUAAAUCCCGGUGGCCGAUGGGGUCGCAAAACAUCGAGGAACUCGUGGAAAACGCGUCUGGAAAUGAAAAUAAAGAGGAUUUGGGCAAAUCCGAGCUCCGCUGGAGACGUGGAGGAUUCACCAAACCGAGCUGGAAAAAUCCCGCCCCGCUCAAGCAUCAUUUCCCACCCGUUUUAUUUCAUUUAAUCGCAGGGUUUUCAAAAAAUAAAUCGGCAUUUAGAGAAAUCUUCCUGCUGCCCGCAGCUCGAAACGCCUCAAAAAUGGAAUUUUUUUAGUUGGGAUUUUAAACCCAGAGCGGAGUUUGGUGGCGCUGAACUCCCGCCGGCAGCAGAAGGGUUAAAUUUGGAGCCCCCAGGAGCAGGAUGGAAAGUUUUACACGAGGAAAACCCAAAAAAUGAACCCAAAAACCCGAACAGUUUUCUGGGGAAUUGUCUGAAACCCUCCAGCUCUGGUUUCUCUUCAAGGCGGGGAGAGAAUUUGGGGUUUUUUGGGGUUUUUUGGGGUUUUUGGGGGGUUUUUUUUGGGUUUUUUAACCCUUUUUGAGAGGGUUUGGAGCGGCGGAAAUUUCAGCGCAGCUCCGCGGGUUUUAUCUCGGGAUCGAGG